UGGGGAAUUUUGGGCAAUGGGCGAAAGCCUGACCCAGCAACGCCGCGUGAAGGAUGAAGUAUUUCGGUAUGUAAACUUCGAAAGAAUAGGAAGAAUAAAUGACGGUACUAUUUAUAAGGUCCGGCUAACUACGUGCCAGCAGCCGCGGUAAUACGUAGGGACCAAGCGUUGUUCGGAUUUACUGGGCGUAAAGGGCGCGUAGGCGGCAAUUCAAGUCAUCUGUGAAAUCUCCGGGCUUAACUCGGAACGGUCAGAUGAUACUGCUUUGCUAGAGUGCAGAAGGGGCAAUCGGAAUUCUUGGUGUAGCGGUGAAAUGCGUAGAUAUCAAGAGGAACACCUGAGGUGAAGACGGGUUGCUGGGCUGACACUGACGCUGAGGCGCGAAAGCCAGGGGAGCAAACGGGAUUAGAUACCCGUGUAGUCCCUGAGCGGGCUGGCA
rnacentral:rRNA from 1 species